rnacentral:tRNA from 1 species
UCCCAGGUGGUACAGUGGUAAAGAAUAUGCCUGCCAAUGCAGGAGAUUUGGGUUCGAUCCCUGGUCUGGGAA